GAGAAGAGAGAGAAAGUGAUGAGAAGAAGAAAGAGAAAGAUGGGGGUGAUGAGAAGACGAUCCAUUGGUGAUGAGUAGUGGGAAGUUAGUGGGAAUGGUGAGUGUUUGAUUGAUUUUGAGGUUUCAAAGUUGUUACCUUUUUGUUUUUCAUUUUCGUUUUCUAUUGAUUUUUUGAGGUCCAGAGGAAUAAAGAAAGGAAAAGUUGAUACAGUGAAGAAACAGCGCGAAAAAAAGAAGAGGGAGGCACUGAGGUAGGGAGAAAUCAGAAAAAGAAAGAGACUGGGAGGGUUUUGGCAUCUUUUAUCACUUUCCUUUUAUAUUCCACUUUCAAUUUUUACGGGGUACAUUUGCUCAAAUUGAAGAUUUGGAUUCUAUUGAAAAUGAUUACUUCUCAAAUUGUGACUUUGUUAUCUCCUACGACUCUUCCUCAAAAUACGAUAAGAUCUGCGUACACAUUAUCCUCUUUAGAUCUCAUUAGUAGAAUUAUACUGGUAUGUUAUUGUCAUAUCUCCUUUUAUUGAUUUUCAGGUUUCAAGUAAGUUUCAAAGUAGUCACUUUGUUUUUCGUUUUCGUUUUCUAUUGGUUUCCAGAGGAAUAAAGAAAGGAAAAGUUGAUACAGGGAAGAAACAGCGCGAAAAAAAUAGAAAGAGAGGGAGGCACUGAGGUAGGCACUGAUACAGGGUACUUUUGCUCAAAUUGAAGAUUUGGAUUCUAUUGAAAAUGGUUACUUCUCAAACGGCCGCUUUUCAAAUUGUGACUUUGUAUGUUGCUCUUUAUCUUUUUU
rnacentral:lncRNA from 1 species